CAGGCUAACUCAACAAACUUAUUGUUCUUUAAGCAUCAGUUGGCUUAUUUAUUGACAACAGAAUUGCAGAAGUGAUUAGAAAGAUUUUAAAUAUCUAACUUGUGCUUGGAAGCUUUGCUUUGGGUAUACUUUAAUAUUUGUUUCAAACAAAGGAUGGUGUGGCUGUGUAUCCUGCUUAAUGCACUCUGUUGUAUCAUACCUUCUGUUUGCUCUGAAUUUCUUCUUGAAGGGUAGAUUCCAUGUGCGUAAUCUUG
rnacentral:misc_RNA from 1 species